rnacentral:rRNA from 1 species
UACGAGGGGGGCAAAUGUUGUUCGGAAUCACUGGGCUUAAAGCGUGUGUAGGCGGGCCCGUAAGUGUCUUGUGAAAUCCCCCGGCUCAACCGGGGAACGGCUGGGCAUACUGCGGGUCUUGGGCCGACUAGGGGCAGCCGGAACAAGCGGUGGAGCGGUGAAAUGCGUAGAUAUCGCUUGGAACGCCGAAGGUGAAAACAGGCUGCUGGGGUCGCGCCGACGCUGAGACACGAAAGCCAGGGGAGCAAACGGG